ensembl:lncRNA
CAAGAUCCAAUUUGUUUAUUCUUGAUUUUCGUUGAUUUGGUAAGAAACAUUUCUUUAAAAGUCACAUAUUUUCAUGAGGGGCACAAUAAUGCAAAACUUUAAUAUUCAACACCAUAUAUGUAUAUCUUUGGCACAUACACUCGGCUCAUUAUAUAUAAAAUGCUUACCCGUAAAUGCCUCUGGCAACGACGUGACAGUUCAUCCAUAGUCAAACACACGCGCCGCCUUGUGGCAUUAAUGAGACACUGCAUCGGUUUCGAUGAGCCUUUGUAGCACACAGGCUGCUUCAGAAAAAGAUCACGUUUCAUCCUGUUGUUUGAGCGUCAGCUGGUGGGCUGGGUUCAGUAAUUGUAUGCUUACUACGAGGGAUACAUGAAAACCAAUCCAUGUGAAAUAAUAUCAAUGUGUUGUAACAGAGGUAUUGUUUUGCUGGUCUCCCCUACGUGCACUGUCUAUGUGUAAUUACUGGAAAGACAAGCUGUGGGAAAAGGAAGAAUUCAAAACACCAGAGCAAACAGUGUAAUACACUUCUUUCACCUUAGGCUAUACAGUUAUUUAGUUAAUUCAUACAAAAAUUAAACAAGUAAGUAGGUGCCGUUUUGGCAGACAAAAUGGUAAUGUUCAUAACGAAAUAAGAAUACGGCGUCCAAGUAUUUAAUUAGUGCUUUUCAUUAAACUGUAAUGAAGUACUGAGGCACCUUUACACGUUCAGACACACCCAGCACGCCAGUGCUCUGGAAAUGCCCCCAGCAUGUGGUGUCAUUCACCGUCUCACACAUUUCCGACACACCCUGUUUUAAACUGGCAUUUGCUUUGACGUUUCCCAAUGCACACUUAACACGCAGAUAGUUACAGUCUUUCAGCUGCAUUAAUCCUAGCGCAGACUCCAUCAGAGGACAAUGCUGAAUGAACGAGUGAAGCACUCAAUACUGCUUGUCUUACCCAGCACAUGGCGGACAGUGUGGCAAAUCACUGGAAUUCUCACUCCAAAUGGAAUGGCAGUGUGUGGUCUUGGUUAAGCAGAUGGCUAAAGACGUUUGGCCUUGGAAACGUUGGCAUUUGAAUGAGAAAAAUGGAGGGAAGAGGAAGAACACACCUUGGCAUGCCAGGUGUGCUCUGAUCAGAUUAAUCAGUUGUGUGCGUCACAUUGCCACGGCAUUACCAGCCAUGCAAGUCCCUCCACCCUGUAGAUCUCUUUCUCUGCGUCAUAUGUGCAAGUCUGAGCCAGAAUGGAGAGAUUUGUAUAACAUGUAGGUCAGAGUUUGUACUAGCAUUUAGUCAACUUUAUUUAAUCACAUUUCAGUGUGUUUUAUACAACAACAAGUCAUAUAAAAGUAACCAAACUCCACCUUCAAAAUCUGUCCAUAACCUGAUUAAAUGUUUGAUUUUGAUUAAAUUCAGACAUUCCAUCUAACUCAAGUCUAAACAUGUUACUGCACUCAGCUAAACUUAGAUGUACUGAUCUGUACUUGCUGAUCACAAUAACCAUUUCUAAAACAGCAUUUUUAUUAUUCCUCUAAUGCCUUUAGACACGUGUACUAGUCUAUUGAGAUUUUCAUGUUGUGUGAACUGAGAAUCAUGACUCAGACUUUUAUUGCUGAACCGCAAUCCGCAAACAAAAGACCUGAAGCAGCAUGUUUACAGGUCAUUUUU